UAAACUUAUAUAAAUCAUGUUGAAAUGAGAAACGUUAAUGUAUUUAACUUCUAUUUUCUCUCAAAUGCAUUAGCACAAAUUAUUAUGGAUCUAUGUCAACGUGUAAAUGAUUUGAGUGGAGUAUUAUCUGUCUAUAAUGAUUUAAUUCCGUCAUAUAGCAGCAGUGGCAUCAACAUCAGCAAAUAAUCAGUAGAAUCUGCCUAAAGCGAAAAUGGUGUAUUUUUAUAUCAGAUUUCUUUGCUUUGUGAUUAUAUUUGCAACGCAUAAAUGUUGUGUAUUUUUUUUAAAUGCUACUGUGGUAUUUAGGGAAGACAUUAAUUGUACGUAAUAUAUUUUUUGUUUCUGAGCUAAUUACAGUCAAAUGUGGAUUAUAUGUGAUCACUAUAUAUAAACCCUCACCCAUAGAGCUCCUCUCUCACACACACAAGCACACUCUUGUUUCUGACUGAUGAUAUAAAAGCCCUAAGGAAUGACAGAAAUAAAAUAAUAAUAAUAGUUUAUGGACAUUAUUUUAUUUUAAUCCUAUAUGUCGUUGUUUGUGUGCGUAAGAGAUCAGAGAGGUUUCUUUAAAAGUGUCGCCUAUUUACGGCGAUUUCUCACUUUUUCUAUCAGUCAUUAUUAUUAAUAAUAUCGACCUCAGUUUAAGUUCGCUGCUGAUAUUUUACUCUUGUGGCAUUCUGCUACUACUUACAUGUGCGAUUCAGCGACAGCAAUUAAUAUUGUACAUGAAUACAUUAAACUUAUAUAUGGUCCGUUUUGCGCUUUAGUUCCAUUCUUGUGCACGCAACUAACGCAAGUACGUGCACACACACACACUUUAUUUACUUUUAUUGUUGUGCCCAGUUGGCCACGAUUGCAUGUCGCGCCGCUGUCUACAGAUUGAUAUAUAGUCAAACUCCAGGGAAGGAUCACUAAGAUCAGUGGGGAAGGAUCCAGGAAGGGAGACACGGAAGUCCGUUAACAACAAGUGAGAGAAGCGCACACGUCACGUUGGUAAAGCGAGAGUCGCGCUCAGGCUGCGAACUAUUUUGCCAUACCCAUGUCGCCCUCGGCGAUGCCUGCAAAUUGCAGCAGAAGCGACAUAGAGUGUUGUUAUCUUAAAUCAAGGCAGAAAGGUAUCACUGGGAUUCAUCAAUGUGAACAACACAUCUAGUCAUGCUUUCGUAAAUCAGGAAAAGAGAGCUACUUAAUAAUGUGGAUUGACACUUCCCCGUUGAGAAACGCGAAUCUACUUAAAGUCUCUUGUGCAGCUGCCAUCGGCUACAUCGAUCUCGUGCGUUUCACGCGCGUGAUAAUGUGAGUUUAGGAGCAGAGUUUGUCAGCCCAGCCAGUGGAGGGAAAGCGAUUGUCACGCUUCGAAGAAUCGUCAACUGGAAACUGUCACGAGAAGAGGGAGUGUGUGUGAGUGAGAAUGUUAAAAAAAAAAAAAAUCCCCUACGUUCACAACGUUCGCUACGUCGUGGCGUGGUCGACGUUCACCAGGGGCUGGCGAACUGUGCCGUUGGUGUUAAGGUCAAUCAGCUGGCGGCACACCCAUUGUGUGCCGAAACUGAUUUCGCUGAUGGGUGUUGCCAUAAGUGCUCUUAAGAUAUGGGUUUCCGUUCUUGCUAUGGCUGUGCGGCGGCAUUUUGUGCGCUCAGCGCGCGCACGCACAGACACACGCGCGCGCGAGCAGUGAUGAGGGCCGCGCCUUCGAUCGCCACGUUCCGCAGCAGCAGGGAGUUUAAAAGGCCUUCAGCAAGCUACAAAGCAGAACUCCAUCCUGCACGACUUGGACUAACAACGACUACGAGAGCAACGACACACACACACAAAAGACAACGACGACGAUCAUGAUGGUAAUGGUGACAGAAACAUCCAUAAAACCAUAAAAAUGAAGAAAAAAAUAUCUACCAUAUCACGGAAACUUAAAAUUCAGAUACUUCAAAUGCAUAUAGAAAACAUAGACCCCUCCAGUUCCCACGCCGCCAAAACCAGUCACGACGUCUCACCCUCUCACUCACCGUGAGGUGGAAGCACUUUCCCUUUAUACCAGCCAGUCAUUGAGGUUCAAGCAGACGGCAGUCAGGCCACAGUUUGUCAGCGCCCUCCUUUGCUGAACUAUGGCACUCGACGUCACUCGCUUUCCACCAAAGAAAAACAAGACCAAAGCAACCACAGGUCAAGUCGGCCUCGUCGUUUGUUUACGUCGGACAUCUUUAUUCUAUGAACCCUAUUGUGUCAGCAACCUGUAUUUUUUGUUGUUCGUCAUGUGAAAAUAUUGCAUGGUGUGUACAUUCAAAUCUCAUGUUUAUGAUUUCGAAUUCUUUUAAUUUUUCAUAACCUUAAAUUGUGAAAUUUCGAUUAGGUGUAACUUAGAGGAUUUCAGAAAAAUCGUUUCUUAUUUACCAUGACCGCAUCCCCAAGGAUCAUCUGCAUAAGAACUAAAAAAUAUGAUACUACCACAGGGGUUAUUUGGCUUUUGCAAGUGGUGGCACUUCUGCGUGAGUAAGCUUAGCUGUUUUAAACUGAAACAGUUUUCAGAUGCAAAUUUAAAACAGGCUUCAGACACUCAACAGAUAUGUUGAAACCAUGAAUCUAUGCAUGUCCGGGGUUGAAAUCGCGUGUCUUUGUCUCCCCAAGUAUUUAAAGUUUUUCCAUCACUUGCAAGGGAAAGAAAUGAGUCUCGCCUCUAUAGCACAUCUAUUAUCAUUUUACAGAACGGCACACAACAGUGCCUGUGUGCAAUUUCAUUUUUCUUUCUGAAGCUCUGGUGCAUUUUUACUCAUAACCAUGAGGCCUCAUUCUGGAACGCCAGAAGAGCGGGGCGUGAAUAAUUAAAAGGUCUAUGAACGAGGGAUGUGGCGCCCUGGUUAAAACACUUAUCACCAUCGCAGUAGAGGUUCAGAUCUCGUGUCGGGCCACACUGUGACACCUGUUAGCAGGACCAAGUAUCAGAAGUUUUCUCUCUCCAUAGUGCGAAAUCACUUCAAGGUGGAAGCACUUUCCCACUAAGCAAACCAACCAACCGGUGGUUGGAGUACCAUUUCUAUGAAAGGCCUUCUUCACAUAUUUAAAAAAAAAGUAAAGGUUGUCCCAUAACCUUUUGUAGGGCGCUGGAUGGUCGAGGGUUUGGUUUCAGAAACUACGAUUUCCCCGGGGUGCCAGCUUUUAUAUAUAUAUUUUUGGAUGGUGCCCAUUUCCUCUCCCUCUCGAUGCUUUAGUUUCCCCAACCUCAGCCAUUCCCGAAAGCUGGAUCGGCUUAGGGAAGUUCGAUGCGUUAAACUGGUAUCGAACCAGUCCUUCUCCGAGUUCAGACGCCAGUACUUUAACUACUAGGCUAUCCAGCUAGCUACUAUACCCCACCGGAUCUGGCCCGCCUGACAAUGUCGUAUAAUGGCAGCACGAGACGACCAUAAAUAGCUUCAGUUGUUUGAAUACUCAAGUCUACUCGUGUUUUUUUUAAAUGAGGAGGAGGGGGAAUGAUCAGCGCUCACUCACAGCUAUUGGUUACUUUGCUUCCAGAGAUCAUACUUGGUUUUUCUCUGUUAAGGCUGAACCAGUAAUGCCAGACUACAAAUGUGUCAUUUCAAAAAUAAAAUGAGGGUGGGAGGGUUUUAAGUAAGAUUUAGACAACUAAGUACAACUAAAAGCAUCCCAGCAGGUAAUAAGAUGGAAAAGUAGGUUUAAGGAUGAAAGAGACUAGAGGUGAUUAAACUAUCUAAAGCAACAGAAGCCAGGCUAUUUAUAAUUGUCUACCACUGCAUGCGUUAGGUAAGUUUCCUCUUCUGUCAUUAAUUUUAGCCCUUGCAGAUAUGUUGUGUCUCUGCAUUGAGAGAAUAACAUUAGACCCGGAAGACAAACCCGCCCUGGCCUAAAUAAAUUAAGAAGACCUUUAUGGGAGAAGAGCUUCUUGGGAUUCCAUAACUCCAUGACUCAUUUUAUUGAUAAGACAAAACUCACUUCAUCAGUUAAUCAUCUCAUACUAUAAAAAAAUAAUUUAUCUAAAUCUGCUUCAGUAUCAUAGACAAAUUUUUGGUUGUUUCACAGCAUACUUGAACAUGCAGACGUGAACAUGCAAAUCACAAAUAUUUCAUGAGUAUAUUCUUUUUAAGACUAGCAUUAAAGAACACCUGCUGUGACAUGCGUUCAAAGGGCAGUCACUGGAACUACAAGUGUUAGAAGUCUUAAUCGUCAUUUAAAAAUGUACCUAAAACAGUCUUUGUCCAGUUUUAUAUGUAAAAGUUGAAUUCUCUGCACGUUUUUUUCAAUAAGUACUUUGUAACAAACAACACUAGAAAUUAAGACAGAGAUAUUUUCUUGCCUGGUUAUUUAAUUAGAAAAAUAGAAAUUGAAAAAUAAAUGUGCAUUUUUCAUCACAGGAAAUUUUGUUCUGUGUAACAGAGUUAAUAAGCACAUACUUAAAACAAAGUAAUGCUGAGAACAUUCAUCCUUACAUGUGUAAAAUACACCAACUUCCUGUUUCCUAUUUAAGAUUUUAAUUAUUUCCAGUGCAUGCUGCCUCCAGUUGUGGUCCCUUUGCAUUGAUCAAACCAGGUCAAGGUAUAAUUAUAUAUACACAUUGCAUAUAUAGACCAAUUAAAACAUCCUUUAAAAUACACCAUAUACAAUCAACUAACUGUUUCAAAAUUAUUUCAUACUGUAUCAUUCAUUUCAAUGCUGUUUGCAUAUUUCUGUACAGUGACCUUUUUGCCCUGAAUGUUGAUUUUUGUCUUUUUAUUUAGUUGUUUAAUAAGAUUAAGUAAUGGUUCAUCUUGAUGACCCUAAGAGAUAUGCCGACAGGAGCAUCAUCUCCUAGCAGGGUCACCCAUGUCGGACAGGUCAAAGGGUAGAGACCAGACAAAGAGUGGUCCACGAGUGCUGAAGUCGGAGGUGGUGGGCCACAAGGCGCACUCCGAAACAACCACAUCACCACGCAACACUGCCAAUAUGACACUUGGAGACAGAAUUGACAGAAAUGGUGCUCGCCCUGUGAAGAUCCGCCAGGCGGGUGCAGUGCCGGGCUCUGUGCCUCAAAGGCCACAGUCGGAGACCCUGCACAACAAGCUGUACGGGCCAGCGGAGACUCUACAGAAGUCCACCAGUUUCAUCUCAAGAGCUGGUCUCCAAGUGUAACAGGCAAACGACACAAAAAAAGAAAAAAGUGCUGCAACCACAUUAAAUGCAGUUUAUUCUGUGCUCUGCAGACCUCGUUAUUAAUAUUAUUUUAAUAUAUUAAAAUAUAUUAUUGGUUUUAUAUUAUUAUAAAAAUCUUACAUUUUUUACUGUGUCCAUGACUAAAAUCUGUACAUAAAGAAAGCUACAGUCUCCCGUGUCUUUUCUGUCUUUUUUAUUUCAUCUUUUGGGACCAACAUCCUCUGAGCAAACAACAACAGAAGAGAUAUAUGGUAGUUAUUAAACAUUUUCUCAGUGAUGUUAAUUUGUGAAAGAUGUUAAUAUUAGGGAGAGGUUUUUGUUGAUAUAGCAUUAUGCCAAAACAAAUUUAUUCUCACUGAAUAUUUUGCUGAAUUUUACAUUGCCUAAAAAGCUUUACUAGUUUCAUGGACUAUACACCUUCAACUCCCUGUUCUAAUUACUCUGAAUUUUCUUUGGUGUCACCUAGUCAUUGUUAACAUUU
rnacentral:lncRNA from 1 species